UAUAAGCAAUCUAUACUGUGAAACUGCGAAUGGCUCAUUAAAUCAGUUAUCGUUUAUUUGAUAGUACCUUACUACUUGGAUAACCGUGGUAAUUCUAGAGCUAAUACAUGCUAAAAACCCCGACUUCGGGAGGGGUGUAUUUAUUAGAUAAAAAACCAAUGCCCUUCGGGGCUCUUUGGUGAUUCAUGAUAACUUAACGAAUCGCAUGGCCUUGCGCCGGCGAUGGUUCAUUCAAAUUUCUGCCCUAUUAACUUUCGAUGGUAGGAUAGAGGCCUACCAUGGUAUCAAUGGGUAACGGGGAAUUAGGGUUCUAUUCCGGAGAGGGAGCCUGAGAAACGGCUACCACAUCCAAGGAAGGCAGCAGGCGCGCAAAUUACCCAAUCCCGACACGGGGAGGUAGUGACAAUAAAUACUGAUACAGGGCUCUUUUGGGUCUUGUAAUUGGAAUGAGUACAAUUUAAAUACCUUAACGAGGAACAAUUGGAGGGCAAGUCUGGUGCCAGCAGCCGCGGUAAUUCCAGCUCCAAUAGCGUAUAUUAAAGUUGUUGCAGUUAAAAAGCUCGUAGUUGAACCUUGGGCCUGGCUGGCCGGUCCGCCUCACCGCGUGUACUGGUCCGGCCGGGCCUUUCCUUCUGGGGAUCCGCAUGGCCUUCACUGGCUGUGUCGGGGAACCAGGACUUUUACUUUGAAAAAAUUAGAGUGUUCAAAGCAGGCCUUUGCUCGAAUACAUUAGCAUGGAAUAAUAGAAUAGGACGUGCGGUCCUAUUUUGUUGGUUUCUAGGACCGCCGUAAUGAUUAAUAGGGAUAGUCGGGGGCAUCAGUAUUCAAUUGUCAGAGGUGAAAUUCUUGGAUUUAUUGAAGACUAACUACUGCGAAAGCAUUUGCCAAGGAUGUUUUCAUUAAUCAGUGAACGAAAGUUAGGGGAUCGAAGACGAUCAGAUACCGUCGUAGUCUUAACCGUAAACUAUGCCGACUAGGGAUCGGGCGAUGUUAUUCUUUUGACUCGCUCGGCACCUUACGAGAAAUCAAAGUCUUUGGG
rnacentral:rRNA from 1 species